rnacentral:rRNA from 1 species
AUUGAACGCUGGCGGCAGGCCUAACACAUGCAAGUCGAACGAGUGGCGGACGGGUGAGUAAUGUCUGGGAAACUGCCUGAUGGAGGGGGAUAACUACUGGAAACGGUAGCUAAUACCGCAUACCAUCGGAUGUGCCCAGAUGGGAUUAGCUAGUAGGUGGGUUAACGGCUCACCUAGGCGACGAUCCCUAGCUGGUCUGAGAGGAUGAACAGCCACACUGGAACGGAGACACGGUCCAGACUCCUACGGGAGGAAGCAGUGGGGAAUAUUGCACAAUGGGCGCAAGCCUGAUGCAGCCAUGCCGCGUGUAUGAAGAAGGCCUUCGGGUUGUAAAGUACUUGCAGCGGGGAGGCGUUACCCGCAGAAGAAGCACCGGCUAACUCCGUGCCAGCAGCCGCGGUAAUUC